UCAUGUAUAAUUUUGAGAUUUGUC
rnacentral:miRNA from 1 species